rnacentral:sRNA from 1 species
AAGAAAAAGCUUGGUUAGUGUUUUGGAGUAGAAUAUGACUUGAUGCCAUGUGUAUGAUUGAGUAUAAGAACUUAAACCGCAACCGGAUCUUAAAUGCCUAAAUUGUGUUUCCUUGUUAGAAGAUACAAAGCCAAAGCGUCAUACGGACUUUUGCUACACCAUCAAAGCUUUGAGAAGCAAGAAGAAGCUUGGUUAGGGUUUUGGAGUCAAAUAUAACUAGAUGUCAUAUGUAUGAGUGAGUAUGAGAACUAGAACCGCAAUCGAAUCUUAAAAGCCUAAGUAUUGAAUCUUUGUUAGAAGAUACAAAGACCCU